AAGGAUUUAGCUUAAUUAAAGUGUUUGAUUUGCGUUCAGAUGAUGUAAGAAUAAUCU
rnacentral:tRNA from 1 species